rnacentral:rRNA from 1 species
CCUACGGGUGGCUGCAGUGAGGAAUAUUGGUCAAUGGGCGUAAGCCUGAACCAGCCAUCCCGCGUGAAGGAAGAAGGCGCUAUGCGUCGUAAACUUCUUUUCCAGAGGAAUAAAAUUUCGUACGUGUACGGAACUGAAGGUACUUUGGGAAUCAGCAUCGGCUAACUCCGUGCCAGCAGCCGCGGUAAUACGGAGGAUGCGGGCGUUAUUGGGUUUUAUUGGGUUGUAGGGGUGCUAAGAAGUAAUAAUAGAAAACCUUCAGCUUAACUGGAGAACUGCCAUUGAUACUGUUAGUCUUGAGUACGGUCAAGGUAGGCGGAAUGUGUAAUGUAGCGGUGAAAUGCUUAGAUAUUACACAGAACACCGAUUGCGAAGGCAGCUUACUGGGCCAUUACUGACGCUGAUGCACGAAAGCGUGGGGAGCGAACAGGAUUAGAUACCCUGGUAGUC